rnacentral:rRNA from 1 species
AGUGGGGAAUAUUGCACAAUGGGCGCAAGCCUGAUGCAGCAACGCCGCGUGAGGGACGACGGCCUUCGGGUUGUAAACCUCUUUUAGCAAGGAAGAAGCGAAAGUGACGGUACUUGCAGAAAAAGCGCCGGCUAACUACGUGCCAGCAGCCGCGGUAAUACGUAGGGCGCAAGCGUUAUCCGGAAUUAUUGGGCGUAAAGAGCUCGUAGGCGGUUUGUCGCGUCUGCUGUGAAAACCCGAGGCUCAACCUCGGGCCUGCAGUGGGUACGGGCAGACUAGAGUGCGGUAGGGGAGAUUGGAAUUCCUGGUGUAGCGGUGGAAUGCGCAGAUAUCAGGAGGAACACCGAUGGCGAAGGCAGAUCUCUGGGCCGUAACUGACGCUGAGGAGCGAAAGGGUGGGGAGCAAA